rnacentral:rRNA from 1 species
AUCGAACGCUGGCGGCAGGCCUAACACAUGCAAGUCGAGCGGAUGAAGGGAGCUUGCUCCUGGAUUCAGCGGCGGACGGGUGAGUAAUGCCUAGGAAUCUGCCUGGUAGUGGGGGAUAACGUCCGGAAACGGGCGCUAAUACCGCAUACGUCCUGAGGGAGAAAGUGGGGGAUCUUCGGACCUCACGCUAUCAGAUGAGCCUAGGUCGGAUUAGCUAGUUGGUGGGGUAAAGGCCUACCAAGGCGACGAUCCGUAACUGGUCUGAGAGGAUGAUCAGUCACACUGGAACUUAGACACGGUCCAGACUCCUACGGGAGGCAGCAGUGGGGAAUAUUGGGCAAUGGGCGAAAGCCUGGUCCAGCCGUGCCGCGUGUGUGAAGAAGGUCUUCGGAUUGGAAAGCACUUUAAGUUGGGAGGAAGGGCAUUAAGUUAAUACCUUGCUGUUUUGACGUUACCAACAGAAUAAGCACCGGCUAACUUCGUG